rnacentral:lncRNA from 1 species
UAUGAAGAAACAGUUAAAAUAAAUACUAUUGGAAAUGAACUUGUUAUUGUGUAAAUAAAAUAUAAAGGCGUACGUAGGAUUUAUAUAGGCAGAUGGACCCCGAUUUUUGAAAAAUAAAAAGAUCGAUGACAGUGUUAAAAAUCGACAGUUUUCAUUAAACAAAACUUUAAACUACCGAACUAUGUCGUUUUUAAUAUUAACACAUUCUCAGUAUUGGUGUAAAAUGAGUUCAAAGUACGAACGGUACUGGCAAUUUGUGUUAAAACUGCUGAAUUCGGCCAUUUCAGACUCAAAAUUCGCUUAUUAGCAACCCUUGCUCCGGUUAACAAUUUAUAACAGCUAUUACAAUUGUUAAUUCCAUUUAAUAUUUUCCUAACCAGAAUCCGGAGCAAGGGUUGCUAAUAAACGAAUUUUGGAAAAAACGAUAAUAUUUGUUUGGCAUUUUCACGUAUACGAGUAGCCUCCCUUGAAGCUAGGUGCUCGUUGCCAGUCAAUAUUAUAGGUGGCGCCACUGUCAACAUGUGGAUGUGAAAACGAAAGUAGAUUAUUUAUCGUGGAAUAAUAACAAUUGUUUACCCUUCUACGUGGAAUUUAUAUGGUAAUGGUAUGAAUUGAGAUGAUUUAUUUAGUUACCUUCAACUGGUCAGUGGUCAACAAGGCCAGAGUAUACAGCUUCCCAAAAUGUUGAAAGACUAAGCUGUUUUUUUUUUCUAAGGACUUGUAUACUAUCUAGGUUGAAAUUAGCCACGGACAAUGAAUUUGGAGGUGCCUGCUGGAGCAUCAGAAAUUACAGACUUGGAAUAGAUAUUUGCAUAAUAUACAAGUAACAUUUACUGAAAAAUGACUAAUGUUUAUGUUAAUAAACUGCAAUAUCCAUGCUUGUAACAUUUAUAUGGGGGUAAUAUUUACUGUGUUGAAAGUGACUACCAGUGUUACAUUUUAAUCUAAGUUACAGUGUGGAUGCUAAUUCUAAAUUCUUGAUAGUCAAGUGUUUUUAAUAACUUAUGGAUACUAAUUAUUUAUCAAACUGUUUACUUUAUCACAUUCCUACAUCAUUAUUUUACAUAAAAUGUGUGUGGUUAUAUAAUAUAUGUUUAUAUGGUAAUAAAUUUUGUCUCUGUGUAAAUAUCUUGGUUUUUGAAAAAUGAAAAUGAAACAUUCAGUGACCAGCUUUUGUCAACAAGUUAUUAUAAAUGCAACAAAACUGAUGAAAAGUUAUCCAAUUACUUUUCACAGGUUAAUAUUGAAAAGCAGAAUACACAUAACAUAAUGUAGUUUUCCUAAAUUGUAUCUGAGGCCAUUAUAAAUUAAUUGCUAGAUUAAAU